GUCCAUAUGUACUUUAACAACAAAGUUAUAAAUCAUUCUAAAUCUUAUUCACAAUUAUAAACAAAGAUAAAUUUUAAAUACCUCAUCUAUGGUUUCGCGCUUUCCCAUUUUAGUACUUACUGGUUUAAAGUAUAUGACUUUAGUAUCAUAUGGUUUUAUUUUUCUCUUUUCGUCAGCGCCUUCGUUAAUUUUUCGUUAAAUUAUAUACAAAAAAACUUCAGAUAUUUCAUCUAUGAUUUAUCAAAUAUUUAAUUUAGUACUUUAUAAUUUUAACUUUGUCGCCGAUUUAAUAAAAAAAUAAUAAUAAAAUAUAUUUUAAUUUAGGGUAAACUUCAGAAACCACUCCCGUAAUUUCGCACUUUCUUAUUUUAGUACCCUGUGGUUUAAAGUGUAUCAAGUUAGUGUCAUAUGAUUUCAUUUUUAUCUUUUCGUCAGCUUUUUCGUUAACAUUUCGUUAAAUUAUAUACAAAAAACUUUAUAUAUCCCACCUAUAUUUAUCGAAUGUUUGACUUCAGUAUUCUUUAGUUUUAACUUUGUCGCUAAUUUAACGAAAAAAAUAAUAAAAUUAAUAAUAAAAAAAUAAAAAAUAAAAUUAUAAUAUAUUACUCUAUGCUAUAAUGCACUAAAUUGAUACACUUUCAACUACGAAGCGUCCGAAGAGUAU
rnacentral:lncRNA from 1 species